GUACCCAGGAUCAAACCCUCAACCUCUGGUUAAGGGUGGAGCAACCCUAUCUACUGCACCACAACCCAUGUUGGUUAUGGCAAUCAAUUUCAAUAUACAGUACUUCUUAAUAAUACAUUCCUUCUUCUUAAUAUACAAAUCAUUAAAUUAAUUUAACUAAAAACUAGAAAGAGUACAUAAAUGUAAAAAAGGCAAACAUCAUUAGCCUUUCGAGGCG
rnacentral:lncRNA from 1 species